GUACUUGAUUUGGCAGCACAUAUACUAAAAUUGGAACGAUACAGAGGAGACUAGUAUGGCCCCUGCACAUGGAUGACAUGCAAAUUUGUGUUGUAUUCCAUAAAAAA
ensembl:snRNA U6 U6 spliceosomal RNA